UUUAGAGGAAGUAAAAGUCGUAACAAGGUCUCCGUUGGUGAACCAGCGGAGGGAUCAUUACCGAGUUUACAACUCCCAAACCCAAUGUGAACGUUACCAAACUGUUGCCUCGGCGGGAUCUCUGCCCCGGGUGCGUCGCAGCCCCGGACCAAGGCGCCCGCCGGAGGACCAACCAAAACUCUUAUUGUAUACCCCCUCGCGGGUUUUUUUAUAAUCUGAGCCUUCUCGGCGCCUCUCGUAGGCGUUUCGAAAAUGAAUCAAAACUUUCAACAACGGAUCUCUUGGUUCUGGCAUCGAUGAAGAACGCAGCGAAAUGCGAUAAGUAAUGUGAAUUGCAGAAUUCAGUGAAUCAUCGAAUCUUUGAACGCACAUUGCGCCCGCCAGUAUUCUGGCGGGCAUGCCUGUCCGAGCGUCAUUUCAACCCUCGAACCCCUCCGGGGGGUCGGCGUUGGGGAUCGGCCCUGCCUUGGCGGUGGCCGUCUCCGAAAUACAGUGGCGGUCUCGCCGCAGCCUCUCCUGCGCAGUAGUUUGCACACUCGCAUCGGGAGCGCGGCGCGUCCACAGCCGUUAAACACCCAACUUCUGAAAUGUUGACCUCGGAUCAGGUAGGAAUACCCGCUGAACUUAAGCAUAUCAAUAAGCGGAGGAA
rnacentral:rRNA from 1 species